GCUCGGGUGGUGGAAUGGUAGACACAAGGGACUUAAAAUCCCUCGGAUUUAAGUCCGUGCUGGUUCAAGUCCAGUCUCGAGCACCA
rnacentral:tRNA from 1 species